rnacentral:misc_RNA from 1 species
UAAAAGUCGUAACAAGGUUUCCGUAGGUAACCUGCGGAAGGAUCAUUAAAAAAUAUCGCUCGAUUGAGAGUGAUUUAAUAAUCAUCCUACUCUUUGUGAAUUUGUUGUUGUAAUAAUUUUUUUUGAUUUUAAAAAAAAUUAUUUAUGGUUUUGUCUAUCCCUAAAAUUGGUUGUUGUGAAAUGAAUCAAAUUUAGGGAAUAGGCUUUCAUAAAUAAGUUUUUUUUAAAGUCUUAAAGACCUUUUUAAAUUAAACUUUUGUAUUCAUUUGUCUAAAUUUUUUUAAAUAAUUUAAAAACAACUUUUGACAAUGAUCUCUUGGUUCUCGCAACGAUGAAGAACGCAGCAAAAUGCGAUAAGUAAUGUGAAUUGCAGAAUACGUGAAUCAUCAAAUCUUCGAACGCGUAUUGCACUUUUUUAGUUUACUAAAAAAGUAUGUCUGUUUGAGUAUCAGUAAAAUAUUCUCAUAAAAACAUUUUUGUUUUUAUGGUUAUGAGUGUUUUACAACGAUAAACAAGUUGUUUCACUUAAAUUCAUUUUAAUUUAAGACCAUUUUGGUUUUAAUAAUAAAAUUGGAUAAAAUUUUCCCGUAAAAAGGAAUAAACUUUUCAGUUUUUAGUUAGAGAAAUCUCGGUCCGAUUUUAAAAGAAAUUUAUUUAAAUAACUUGAUCUCAAAUCAGAUAAGAGUACCCGCUGAACUUAAGCAUAUCAAUAAGCGGAGGAAAAGAAACUAACAAGGAUUCCUUAGUAACGGCGAGUGAAGCGGGAAGAGCUCAAAUUUGAAAUCUUCAAGGUUCUACCUUGACGAAUUGUAGUUUAAAGAAGUGUUUUCUGUUAGAUGAGUAGCAAAAGUUCCUUGGAAUGGGACAUCAUAGAGGUGAGAAUCCCGUAUUUGGUUAUCAUUCUAGCUUGUGAUACACUUUCAAAGAGUCGGAUUGUUUGGGAAUGCAGUCCAAAAUGGGUGGUAAAUUACAUCUAAAGCUAAAUAUGGCGAGAGACCGAUAGCGAACAAGUACCGUGAGGGAAAGAUGAAAGAACUUUGAAAAGAGAGUUAAACAGUACGUGAAAUUGUCAAAAAGGAAGCGUUUGACACCAGUGUUGUUUUUCCGAAAAUCAAUUACGAAUGGCUUGAUUUUGUGUUGUAUUGACCUUAUCAGCUUUCUGCACUUUUUUCGAGUCUUUCUUAAUGCACUUUUCGGUUAACAAGUCAACAUCAAUUUCUUUGUUGUAAAAGAGUAUCGGAAGUGGCUUUCUUUCGAGAAAGUGUUUAUAGCCUAUACUUCUACAAUCGGAGAGAUUGAGGUCUGCAGCGUAGAUCCUUCGGGUUAGAUACAUUUGUGCUAAGUUGUAGCUUUUCAUAGACAACUUGUUGACUAUGUUUAGUCAUGCGGCUUACUCGCUUAUGCUAUUUUACCUACGCUUAGGAUGUUGAC